UGACCUGUGGUGUAAUUGGCAACACACAAGAUUCUGGAUCUUGUUUUUUAGGUUCGAGUCCUAACAGGUCAA
rnacentral:tRNA from 1 species